UCCCUGUUAACCAGGGCAGUCUCCUAUGAAAUGUAUAACAUAGGACAAGGGUUGCGCUCGUUCACGGACCUAACCGAACACCUCAAGGCACGAGCUGACGACAACCAUGCAGCGCCUGUCACCGAGUUCCUUGCGGCACUCCACCGUUUCCGGCGGAUUCUCGGGAUGUCAAGCCUUGGUAAGGUUUCUCGUUUCGUGUCGAAUUAAACAACAUGCUCCACCGCUUGUGUGGGUCCCCGUCUAUUCCUUUGAGUUUUAAUCUUGCGACCGUACUUCCCAGGCGGAAUACUUAACGCGUUAGCUAAGGCACUGGUGGGAUCGAUCCACCAACACCGAGUAUUCAUCGUUUACGGCGUGGACUAC
rnacentral:misc_RNA from 1 species